GAAAUCUUAUAUUGAUGGGUUACUCGCAUUGUAAAUCUGUAAAAUAAUAAUCCACAAGAUUUGGGAUUAUCAUGUGGCUUACCAUGCCACGUAUUGACCAAGAUGUAUGUUACGUAAUGUGGAAGGAACAGAAAUGUGUGUAGUGAAGCAUGUAUUGACAAAGAAACGUAAGAACAAUGUACGCCGUGGAGAAAGGAUUCAAGGGUAUACAGACUCAGCAAGGCCUAUCCAGGAAGUCCACCCAAGCACAUGGAGCCUUUGCCUUCAGACCAAGAAUUAGCAGCCAGGCAGGACCGCCUCCUUUGCCAAUUACCAGCUACAAGGAGGUUCUUACCUUCGUUGACUUUUACACCGCCAGCUGCAAGGUGUACAUGAAUUUUGAUGAUGAAUGUGUAUGCCUGAUGUCCGAUAUCAUUUGAAAUUAAGGGAAACUAUUAACUUUGUGGACCACUUGAUGGUGUCACAUUUCACAGUGAGUAGUGCAAUUCAUGCGUGGGAAUUUAUUUGUGAUUUGUCAGCAGUGGCCAGCAGUUAUCAGCUCCAUUAGCCAUUUGCUCUCAGUUGCAAUUAGUGAGGAGAGUGUUCUGUCAUGGUGCGGUAUACUUUAGAACAACGUCUAUUUCUGUAUGACACCUAUGUGAAAUACAAAUCAGCUGGGAAGUGCCGGAAAAAAUUUAGACGUAAAUUUCCUAAUGAAGGAAGAGUUCCCAGCAGACAAACAAUUCACAAUUUGGUAAAAAAAGUUAGAUCAACGGGACUCUUAAUAGACAAGAAACAGAAACAUAAGCGUCGAGUGCUUACUGAGGAGAAGUUGGAUGACAUAGGAGCCAGACUUGAACGUACACCUAGAAAAUCUCUAAGAAGUCUAGCUCAGGAGACAGGAGUGUCAAAAUCUAGUGCAAGAACGGCAACACAAUUGCUGAAUCUUAGACCCAAUAAAACCACAGUAAUCCACACAUAUGUUGCAACCGCACGAUCCAGCUAGCAGGGUUCGUUUGUGCAGUUGGUUUCUACAGGCUGUUGUGGAAGGUGAGAUCGAUCCACAAUCGACAUUCUUUUCUGAUGAAGCGCUGUUUCACUUGCAGGGAUACAUAAACAGGCAAAAUAAUUGUUACUGAAUUUCAUACAAUCCACGAUUUCAAGCUCCAUCUAGUGAAAGUUGGUGUCUGGUGUGCUGUAAGUGUAAGGACUGUUGUGCCUGUGUUUUUUGAACAAAACAGUUAAUUGCCAAAGAUAUUUACAGGUCAUUCUCGGGGAGUUCUUUUCAGAGUUAAAAGAAGUACUCUAUGGCUGGUUCUAGCAAGACUCUCCUACUGCCCACACUGUGCUUGUGUUUAUGCAAGCUUUGUCCGACAUCUUCAGGGACGAUUAGCAGUGGUAUUUCGCCAGCAUGUUGACCUGAUCUUAGUCAUUGUGGUUUUUUCUUCUGGUGUUGUUUGAAGGACAGAGUAUACAACAGUAGACCCCCAAAGAGAAGAAGAACUUAAAGAAAAUAUUUGUAGGAAAAUUGCAAGUAUUCCUGCAGAGCAGAUUAAAGGGGUAAAUCAGAAUCUCUUCUGCUGGUGCAAGGAAUGUCUACAUGUAGAGGGACAGCAUUUUCAACACCUGUGAUCUUUGAAUGGUAACUAUUUCAUUCUGAAUGUUAUCGGCCAACAGACAUAUUGAUUCAUCAACAGAAUUUGUAUGCGCCUUACAGCUGGCUAGCGCCGAUCAUCGUGAAGUGCAGAGUCAUGAACCAGUCAACAAAGAUAAGAAGCUCCUUGUACCAUGAAACCAUUGACUGCAGACCAAGGAAGGAAGAACCAAGAGGAUCUGUGCCAGCAAUGAAGAAUCUUCUCAGUAAAGGCUGGGAAGGCAUCACUGAAGAAGUUGCAGGAUUCAGCCAGUGGAGCUUGCCUACUGAACUGAAUGGAGAGCCAACCAAAAUGCAGUACACGUUGAUGUGAAGUGACCUUAAAUGUGCAUCUGCGUAGUUGUGUUCUGGGACAUCAUUCCACCCAGGCCAGGGGAAGCUCAGAGGAAGAGGAAGAGGGAGCCAGUGUGACAAGGAGUCUUGAGAAGGCAUCAGUGAAGAAAUUGCUGUACCAGGUUACAAAGAAUGUGACUGAUCUUCAACUUCAGCAUGUAGCACUUAGGAAGUUCAUCAUCCCUGUGUAGUGCAACCAUUAUGAGCCCUUAUACUAAAGCUUGGGCAGGAUGCAUGACAAGGAUAUAGGCAUCAGAGAUGUUGGAUUAAAUUCAGAAUGGGGUCAAGGGUUUCCUGAAAAGGUUGGAGAGAACACAAGGAUGCUCAUGGAUGGCUUUGCACUGAGGAGGAUGUGUGUGGGUUCCCGCCAAAUUUUAUUUUCUACAAGAUAGUGCACAGCAAGUGCAAGAAGUAAGUGUGAAAUGAUACACGUAACA